rnacentral:misc_RNA from 1 species
GUGAAGAACGCAGCGAAAUGCGAUAAGUAAUGUGAAUUGCAGAAUUCAGUGAAUCAUCGAAUCUUUGAACGCACCUUGCACCCUUUGGUAUUCCGAAGGGUAUGCUCGUUUGAGUGUCAUUGUACUCUCACACUUCUAAUUCCUUUCGGGAUUGGGAGCGGUGGACUUGGGUGUUGCUGCUUUAGUUGUGGCUCACCUCAAAUAAGUUAGUGCAACUCUUGGUUGGACAUAGUACGGCGUGAUAAGUGUCUUCGCCGGCGCCUCUGUAAGGAGGGUGGCCGAUCGGGAGCUCUGUGCUUCAAACCGUCUUCGGACAAUCUUUGACAACUUGACCUCAAAUCGAGUAGGACUACCCGCUGAACUUAAGCAUAUCAAUAAGCGGAGGA